rnacentral:rRNA from 1 species
GACGUAGGGGGCCAGCGUUGCUCGGAAUAACUGGGCGCAAAGGGUCUGUAGGCGGUGCGGCGAGUCGGGAGUGAAAUCUCUGGGCUUAACCCAGAGGCUGCUUCCGAAACUGCCGUGCUAGAGUGCGAGAGAGGUGAGUGGAAUUGCAGGUGUAGCGGUGAAAUGCGUAGAUAUCUGCAGGAACACCAGAGGCGAAGGCGGCUCACUGGAUCGCAACUGACGCUGAGAGACGAAAGCUAGGGGAGCAAACAGG